GAAAGAAAUCGUCAGAUUCAUACAUGACAUACACAGUGACUACAGUUCAUGGACAUUUUAAGGCACAGCUUUCUGGGCGUCCCUGAAUGAGUUUAAGCAGUAAGUCACAAGAAUGUCACAGAACUGGUUUGUUCUCUUCCUGUUUGAUGGUCACAUGUUAAAAAGUCCCUGACACUUUGACAUUUCAUUUUAGUUAGCUUAGGUGUAGAGACAGUGGUGAUCAAUCAGAUCCUGUAAAUGAUGAUAAAGGUAAGAACCGGUUCACUCUCUGUGGACACAGGACGGAGGACGCAACCGAGCAACACUACAUCUUGUCCUGAAGAGAAGACAUAAGGUUAUCUGGCUAUGGGUGGUUGCUCCUCCAAAAAAAAAUUCUUCUGGCAGAAGAAAAAGAGGUCGCCUCUGCAGCAGUCCUGGCGUCAGCUGAAGGGGGCGCUACCCGGUAAGAAACGCAAGAAGAAGAUCCCUCUGCCACUGGAUAAACUGAACCUGGAUAACCUGAAACGGAGGAAGCGUUCCCAGAGGAAAUUCUCACUGUCGACAGACAAGAAAGACUUUGUGUUGUCGAAAAGAUUCUCUCUUGGCAACACGAGGAAGGAGUCGACUGUUUUACCAGGAAAGAAGGACGGAGGCAGGCUGGGAGAGCAGAUUAAGAAGAGGCUUUCUCUCCCUCUGUGAAAGGAAGGAAACGAAACAAGUGGACUGAAAAAUUGAGCAAAAGUGUCUUAAAGAGGCUGAAUGAGAUCCAAAGUCAAUUUAGAGAGAAAGAGCCUUAAAUUUGGCAGGAAGACAAAACACGAGCUGCCAGUAAACAGGCCACAGGAAGAUCAGAGAGAUACAAGUAUUCAAAGCUUUUAAUGACGUCACUGUCAGUUACCGAGGGCAGAUUAUCAUGGCUGAGAAUGACACACAGCGUUAUCGUCAGGAAAGCUUUCACCCACAAACAGCUUGCUAUCAGUUUUUUUUUCGAUAUUUACUAUCAGCUGUAAUAAACUUACCCCAAAGUUUUACAUCA